rnacentral:sRNA from 1 species
AAAAAAAAAAAAAAAAAAAAAAACAGAGAAGUCAAAUGGUUUUUUGGAAUAUGGUAGCCCUCCGUACCCAUCGGUUCCACAUGUGUGGUUUCAACCAACUAUGUAUUGAAAAUAAAAUUGCAUCCUUACAAAUAUGCAGACUUAUUUUCCUUGUCAUUGUUCCCUUAACAAUACAGUGUAACAGCUAUUUACGUAGCAUUUACAUUGUAUUAGGUACUAUGAGUAAUCCUGGAGUUGCUGUAAAACUUAAAUGUAAAACUGUAAAUGAGGAUGAUUUAAAGUAUAGAGGAGGAUGUGCAUAGGUUAUAUGCAAAUACUCUCCCAUUUUAUAUUAGGGACUUGAGCAUCCACGGAUUUUGGUAUCCGUGGGGUUCCUGGACCCAACCUGCCACGGAUACGCAGGGACGACUGUAUUUGGCAUAGAGGCCUUUCUAAUGCACUUACCAAGGACAGCCGCAGCAGGCUGUGAUCCCUGAGACAAGUGUGAGUUUAGUGAGGGUAGAGUUUUUGUUCUGGUUCUCAGCUGUGUCCCAGCACCUAGGAUUGUCCCUGGCACACAGUAGAUGCUUAGAAAAGAUUUGAUGAGAGGGUGACCAUACAUGAGGGGAAAUUUUCUUCAGUAUCAAAACAUGUUGAAACUCACACACUUCCAAGAUGAUGUAUUCUCAGGUCUCCUGCCAUUGCCGUUCUCUGCCUUAUGUGAUGGUGUUCUGUCUUACCAGAGGCUGUGGCCCUGAGAAAGAUCAUGUCUACCUGCAGCUGCACCACCUACCUCCAGAGCAGCUGGCCACACGCCUGCCUGGCAUUUCAGAGACAGCCAUGAUCUUCGCUGGCGUGGAUGUCACGAAGGAGCCGAUCCCUGUCCUCCCCACCGUGCAUUAUAACAUGGGCGGCAUUCCCACCAACUACAAGGGGCAGGUGAUGGUGCUGACUCCUCUCCCACAGCUGGAAAGAAGGCUGGGACGACGGGGCCCACCUCGCAGUUGUCUCUUUAGAUCUUACAGGAAAAGACAUGUUUCCUUCAAGAAAGUACUGUGUUGUUUUCUAGAUCGCACUUUAAAUUUCUAUUACUGGAGGAUGGAGGGGGCUUGAUAAUUUAUUCCUCCUUAGUAAAUUGUCAGAGAUACAUCAUUUGCAGCUUUUUCCAUUUUGUAAUUACUUUCCUAUAUGAUCCUGUGUUAUUUCUAAUGAUCUUGUACAUCGAGGGAUCUUUAUAAUUCAUUCCUUUGAGUGGUUUGCGGUUCACACAGAGCUUGUCAGUCACUUAGGCUCCUUGUUGGGCGAGGUGGGUGGAAGCUGUUGCUUUCCCUGCGUAGACGAAGAGGUGAACGGGGUAGAAGAGUCUGGAACAUCAGUCUCCCCUGCUGAUCUUCCUCCACCUGCCGUGCUCCUGGGUCUGAGCCGGAGCACAGGUGGUGAGGGCCCCGGGAACAUGGGACACGGGGGACAGUCGCAGAUGCUGACAUUGGAGGUCCUCUGACCUGCUUAUAACAGCAGGUGCUCAGGGGCAGAGGGGAAACUAGGGGAUACCUUCGGAAGCUUCCCUCUGAAGAAGAGUAGCUAUGGUCCUUACUUCCCUCUUAGAUACGGUAUUUACUUCCCUCUCUUUUUUUUCUUGGAGUUGCAGUCUCACUGUGUUGCUUCGGCUGGAGAGCAGUGGCACAAUCUCGGCUCACUGCAACCUCCGCCUCCCAGGUUCAAGUGAUUUUUCCACCUCAGCCUCCCUAGUAGCUGGGAUUACAGACACCCGCUAUCAUGCCCCGCUAAUUUUUGUAUUUUUAAUAGAGAUGGGCUUUCACUGUGUUAGCCAGACAGGUCUUGAAUCCCUGAACUCAGGUGAUCCACCCACCUCAGCCUCCCAAAGUGCUAGGAUUACAGGUGUGAGCCACCACGCCUGGCCUACUUCCCUCUCUUUCUCUGACCUGCAGCACAGACACCCUGUUGAGGGAGGUGGACUUAUGGAGGCAUGGGCACCUUGACAUUUCACCUGAAAUCUUCCUUUCCACAGGUCCUGAGGCACGUGAAUGGCCAGGAUCAGAUUGUGCCCGGCCUGUACGCCUGUGGGGAGGCCGCCUGUGCCUCGGUACAUGGUGCCAACCGCCUCGGGGCAAACUCGCUCUUGGACCUGGUUGUCUUUGGUCGGGCAUGUGCCCUGAGCAUUGAAGAGUCAUGCAGACCUGUCAAUGCAAAAUCAUGCUGCCGUGUUCCGUGUGGGAAGCGUGUUGCAGGAAGGUUGUGGGAAAAUCAGCAAGCUCUAUGGAGACCUAAAGCACCUGAAGACGUUCGACCGGGGAAUGGUCUGGAACACGGACCUGGUGGAGACCCUGGAGCUGCAGAACCUGAUGCUGUGUGCGCUGCAGACCAUCUAUGGAGCAGAGGCGCGGAAGGAGUCACGGGGUGCGCACGCCAGGGAAGACUACAAGGUGCGGAUUGAUGAGUACGAUUACUCCAAGCCCAUCCAGGGGCAACAGAAGAAGCCCUUUGAGGAGCACUGGAGGAAGCACACCCUGUCCUAUGUGGACGUCAGCACUGGGAAGGUCACCCUGGAAUAUAGACCCGUAAUCGACAAAACUUUGAACGAGGCUGACUGUGCCACCGUCCCCCCAGCCAUUCGCUCCUACUGAUGAGACAAGAUGCGGUGAUGACAGAAUCAGCUUUUGUAAUUAUGUAUAAUAGCUCAUGCAUGUGUCCGUGUCAUAACUGUCUUCAUACGCUUCUGCACUCCGGGGAAGGAGGAGUACAUUGAAGGGAGAUUGGCACCCAGGCUGGGAGCUUGCCAGGAACCCAGUGGCCAGGGAGUGUGGCACUUACCUUUGUCCCUUGCUUCAUUCUUGUGAGAUGAUAAAAUUGGGCGCAGCUCUUAAAUAUAAAUGAAC